rnacentral:lncRNA from 1 species
UUGGGUUGUUGACAUGCUGAUCAUCCAGUACCCAAAUCUUUCAGAGGAUUCGACCACCAACAACUCCCCAUGAGCGAUUGAAGAUCACCCUAAAUCACACCAGCAGGAGAAGUGGACGAGUAAAACACUAGAAUCUACAGCCACAGCGAUAAACAACAUCUGCCAUCUACAAACCUGAAGAAACACGUACAGAAAACUGAGCACCCCAGCAAUCAUUGAUUGACAGGGAAUUUCAAUGAAAUACCAUGUGAUUCUGAAGACUGAACCAGUUCAACGACAAGUUGUUUG